UAGGGGGUCAUGGAGGAGCCUACCUCUGAAAAGCAUUCCCCUAGCUGCUACUGAAGCGAAAUACAAUUUAUUUCAUGCUGGGGGACAGAAGCGAGCGAGGGAGAGCAGUCACCUGCUCCUUAUCUGGGCUAUUUUCUUGGCAGACCUCAGAAUGAAACCAUGGUGGGGAGGGGGUGGGAAGCUGGGCUGGGGCCAAGGGAAGAAGCUUGCCAGCACUGUCAGCCGACGAGCCCAGGAGGAAAAGCCGGGCCUAGUCUCUGCCCCGUUCCUGUUCCCCACCUGUCUGUACCCCUGUCUCUCCUUUCCCUGGCUCUGCCAGACUAUCUCCCUGGGCACCAGCCUCCCCACCCACCCCUGGAGGGCGGGGCUUGGCUGCACCCACGUGUGGUGGAGUUAAAUGCUCCUAGCCGGCAGAGGAGCUAGGGAGUGUGGCACUGAGCCGGCUCAGGCAGAGACGCGGCACCAUGGCUAGCAAGAAAGUCUGCAUUGUAGGCUCCGGGAACUGGGGCUCAGCCAUCGCCAAGAUUGUGGGUGGCAAUGCAGCCCAGCUGGCACAGUUUGACCCACGGGUGACCAUGUGGGUAUUUGAGGAAGACAUUGGAGGCAAAAAGCUGACGGAGAUCAUCAACACGCAGCAUGAGAAUGUCAAAUACCUGCCAGGGCACAAGUUGCCCCCAAAUGUGGUGGCUGUCCCAGAUGUGGUCCAGGCUGCAGCGGAUGCUGACAUCCUGAUCUUUGUGGUGCCCCAUCAGUUCAUCGGCAAGAUCUGUGACCAGCUCAAGGGCCAUCUGAAGGCAAACGCCACUGGCAUAUCUCUUAUUAAGGGGGUAGACAAGGGCCCCAGUGGGCUGAAGCUCAUCUCGGAAGUGAUUGGGGAGCGCCUCGGCAUCCCCAUGAGUGUGCUGAUGGGGGCCAACAUUGCCAGCGAGGUGGCUGAUGAGAAGUUCUGUGAGACAACCAUUGGCUGCAAGGACCCGGCCCAGGGACAACUUCUGAAAGAGCUGAUGCAGACACCCAACUUCCGUAUCACAGUGGUGCAAGAGGUGGACACAGUAGAGAUCUGUGGAGCCUUAAAGAAUGUAGUGGCCGUGGGGGCUGGCUUCUGUGAUGGCCUGGGCUUUGGCGACAACACCAAGGCGGCAGUGAUCCGGCUGGGACUCAUGGAGAUGAUAGCCUUCGCCAAGCUCUUCUGCAGUGGCCCUGUGUCCUCUGCCACCUUCUUGGAGAGCUGUGGUGUUGCUGACCUGAUCACUACCUGCUAUGGCGGGCGGAACCGGAAAGUGGCUGAGGCCUUUGCGCGUACAGGAAAGUCCAUUGAGCAGCUGGAGAAAGAGAUGCUGAAUGGGCAGAAACUGCAGGGGCCCGAGACAGCCCGGGAGCUACACAGCAUCCUCCAGCACAAAGGCCUGGUGGACAAGUUUCCCUUGUUCAUGGCUGUGUACAAGGUGUGCUACGAGGGCCAGCCAGUGGGUGAAUUCAUCCGCUGCCUGCAGAAUCAUCCAGAACAUAUGUGAGUGGGGCCAGGGCCCAGGCCAGGCCGCUUCUUUACCCCAGUGGAGACCAGCAGAAGCCUGGGGUACCUAGUCACCAGGAUCUCCAGGACUCCCAGGGAGCAGAGUCUUCUCAUCUUUUCACUGGAGGACAGGAGGCUAUGGGGCCCAGCUAAGCACCUGGAGAUCCUGAACUGUCAAGCCACUGGCAGCCUCUUGCCACCACAUUUGCCAGAAAUGCAGUUGCCCUGUCCCUCUCCAGAUGUGGGGCUUUCUCCGUGUCCUCUGGGAGGGGUGGAAUCAAGCCCCAGUGCUGCCGGCUUGGUGGCGGGGGUGAUGUAUGUGGGGAAGGGUUGGGGGAGAGGCCAGCAGGGCAGGGGCUGCCAGUGGCUGUCUCACAUACACCAGGAAUCCUGUUAAAGGGCUGAAGAAGUAUCUUAGCCACAGGAGGGAUGAGGCAAGGAUUGUCAGGGAGGGGUUUGGGCUUCUGAGCUGAUGCAGGCCCCAAGGACCCCUUUGCUGACCUCUGCCAGGACCCACACAGCUUCGAUGGAUCUCAGUGUUUGUUAACAAAAUACAAAGGUCUCAAACAAACCCCUUUUAGCUUCUCCUAGCAACAUCUGUGUCCUCAGAAACCUCUGGUUCUCCCCCUUCCCCCUCCGCCAGGCUGCCCUGGCACCCGAAUUGCUGCCAUGCUGGCAUCUGUAGCUCAGUGGCUCGACAUUUUCCCCAGGGACUUCCCGGUUCCUAGUUCUUUGCCAGCUCCUCCCCACUCGGUGUGACCUUUCCAAGCCUUCCCCCACCCUCCCCGCCAGCACCCUCUUUGGGGAGCAGGAACUUAAUCUGCUGACAGAGCUACACCUUUCACAGCAGGCUCAGAUCACUCAGCUCCCUGUGACCUUUGUAUUCACCCAGACUUCCUUCUCAGUAGCUCUAGCUGGCGGAGGUGUCAGCUGGGCCCCUCCUGUGCUAUCUCCCAAGCUCUGCACCUCUUCCUCAGCUGCUCCAGACCGGCCAGGGUAACCAGCUAACCAUGCCUGGCAUCUGGAAGCCAGCGGGCCAGAGGGUGGCCCAAAGGCUGAUGAACGGUAGGGAAGGAAACAGGAAGAGUUGGGAGAGGGAGCUUCAGUGCAUGUGGCAGUGCGUGUGCUGGUGUGUAUCACUGCACGUAUGUUUUCCCUCUUACCGUAGGAAACAUGAAAAAAGAAAUCCCUCCUCCAUAAUCGCAGCUGCUCCAGGGGUCAGCGGCGGUGCCCACUCAGUCCUCAUCCCUCUCUCUCCCCUCUCCCGCCAGCGCCCCCUCCCGCCCUCGCCGCAAGCUGGCCCCGGCCUUGCGGGCCCUUCUUAGGGGCUUUAUCAUGCCUCCUGCAAGAAUAGAGGUCACACACGGGACAGAAACGUUAGACACUCAUCCCUUGUGCCCAUUCCUUGGUCACGGCCCAAGCCGCCACAUCCUUGGCGGUCCAGGCCUCGCUGUGCCCCUCGGGUCCCGACCUGGACUAGGCGCACAGCCUGGCUCUAGGGGGCGCGCGGUCCACCUCCAGAAGGCCGGCUCCGAAAAUCUACCCAGCUACUGGAGACGUCACCGCGCCGUAGGCUGACUCUGAUUUAGCAUCCUAAAACUUCCGGUUCCAGAGCUUGGCGCGCCAAAGACCCUCCCUCGAGGGAGCGAAACCACAGCCCCCAGAAUUCAGCGGGCCUCUCCGAGAGCACGGCGCGUCUGAGGAUGCGUAGUAAGGACGACGGGCCCGGAAGCCGGAAGUUCAAAGCCGGCCUCCAGCCAGAGUGACGGCCUGCGCGGACUCACGCCUUAGCGGGCGGAGUUGUGCCGCGUCUGAUGCGCAGUUCCCUUUCUAGCGUGGCAAGCCGAAUCCUAGAGGCUAACCCGGCAGGUGGGAGGGAGAAAGUCGCUUUCUGCACCAAUAGCUGAGGCGUUCAGGGUUGUCCAGGGACGCUACCCUCACGUGUCUGGUUCCGAGUGCUGCGUUCGGCUGUGCUGGGAAGUUGCGUAGACAGUGGCCUGGAGACCCCACCUGCCUGAGGAGGCCUCGGUUGGACGCGAAGGAGCUGCAGCAUCCAGGGGACAAGAUGCCAACUGGCAAGCAGCUAGCUGACAUUGGCUAUAAGACCUUCUCUGCCUCCAUGAUGCUCCUCACUGUGUACGGGGGGUACCUCUGCAGUGUCCGAGUCUACCACUAUUUCCAGUGGCGCAGGGCCCAGCGCCGGGCCGCAGAAGAACAGAAGACCUCAGGAGUCAUGUAGAACUGGGGGGCUUUUUCUCCUGGGCAGAGAGGCCCAAGGCAUGCUAUGGAGAGACUUCACCUGCCACCAUUUCCAGGUCAACAGGACUAGAGCACUGAUGAUUUUCAAACCCUGUUGGAAGAAAGUGCCCGUGGUUUCUCUGGUUCUGCCAGUCUGUGCCAGUUUGACAGUUCAUGGAGGCUGUUGAAUCAUAAUAGCAAUGUGAGGGUGAGAUACACCUACAGACAUUAAAUAAUUUGCCGUG